GGUGGGAUGACGUCAAAUCAUCAUGCCCCUUAUGACCUGGGCUACACACGUGCUACAAUGGUUGGUACAACGAGUUGCGAGUCGGUGACGGCGAGCUAAUCUCUUAAAGCCAAUCUCAGUUCGGAUUGUAGGCUGCAACUCGCCUACAUGAAGUCGGAAUCGCUAGUAAUCGCGGAUCAGCACGCCGCGAUGAAUACGUUCCCGGGCCUU
rnacentral:rRNA from 1 species